CCAGAGAUGGAUUGGUGCCUUCGGGAACUCUGAGACAGGUGCUGCAUGGCUGUCGUCAGCUCGUGUUGUGAAAUGUUGGGUUAAGUCCCGCAACGAGCGCAACCCUUAUCCUUUGUUGCCAGCGGUCCGGCCGGGAACUCAAAGGAGACUGCCAGUGAUAAACUGGAGGAAGGUGGGGAUGACGUCAAGUCAUCAUGGCCCUUACGAGUAGGGCUACACACGUGCUACAAUGGCGCAUACAAAGAGAAGCGAACUCGCGAGAGCAAGCGGACCUCAUAAAGUGCGUCGUAGUCCGGAUUGGAGUCUGCAACUCGACUCCAUGAAGUCGGAAUCGCUAGUAAUCGUAGAUCAGAAUGCUACGGUGAAUACGUUCCCGGGCCUUGUACACACCGCCCGUCACACCAUGGGAGUGGGUUGCAAAAGAAGUAGGUAGCUUAACCUUCGGGAGGGCGCUUACCACUUUGUGAUUCAUGACUGGGGUGAAGUCGUAACAAGGUAACCGUAGGGGAACCUGCGGUUGGAUCACCUCCUUA
rnacentral:rRNA from 1 species